rnacentral:rRNA from 1 species
AGUGGCGGACGGGUGAGUAACGCGUGAGAAUCUGCCUUGGGGUCGGGGACAACCACUGGAAACGGUGGCUAAUACCGGAUAAGCCGAUUGGUGAAAGAUUUAUUGCCCGAAGAGGAGCUCGCGUCUGAUUAGCUAGUUGGUGAGGUAAGAGCUCACCAAGGCAGCGAUCAGUAGCUGGUCUGAGAGGACGAUCAGCCACACUGGGACUGAGACACGGCCCAGACUCCUACGGGAGGCAGCAGUGGGGAAUUUUCCGCAAUGGGCGAAAGCCUGACGGAGCAAGACCGCGUGAGGGAGGAAGGCUCUUGGGUUGUAAACCUCUUUUCUCAGGGAAGAAGCUCUGACAGUACCUGAGGAAUCAGCCUCGGCUAACUCCGUGCCAGCAGCCGCGGUAAUACGGAGGAGGCAAGCGUUAUCCGGAAUUAUUGGGCGUAAAGCGUCCGCAGGUGGCGAUUCAAGUCUGCUGUCAAAGCACGGGGCUUAACUCCGUAAAGGCAGUGGAAACUGAAUAGCUAGAGUGCCGUAGGGGUAGAGGGAAUUCCCGGUGUAGCGGUGAAAUGCGUAGAGAUCGGGAAGAACAUCGGUGGCGAAAGCGCUCUACUGGACGGCAACUGACACUCAGGGACGAAAGCUAGGGGAGCGAAUGGGAUUAGAUACCCC